rnacentral:piRNA from 1 species
UGCAGUAUUGGAAUAAAGCUGCCUAGAAU